AAAAAAAAUCAAAAUUUCAUCAUCAAUAAAAAAUACUAACCAAGACAACAAAAAAAUCAAAGACGGUGGCGAACUGGCGGAAGUCAAAAUCCGGUGGAGCCGACACCGGGAAUACUCCAUUCUGAGGCUCAAAAAACACUAAGAGAGAUAAAACUUUGAAAAGCUGCCGGCCUGGAUGACUAGAAAAAAACUCAGAUAAUCUAAAACUUAUUGAGGAGGAAAACAUACACAUUGCGAAGGGCAAAUGGGUUUUUCUGAAAGAAGGGGUACCAUGGAUGCCUUCCUUAUUCGCACUGUCUGGCCUGUUGUAAAAAUGCAUCAACAGAGGGAAGUAUAUAUGUGUUGCAUAGAUUAUACAAAAGCUUUUGACUGUAUCAAUCCGACCACACUCUUAGAACUGCAGGAACGAAUAGGUGUCGAUGCCCAAGAUAUAAAAAUCGUUCAAAAUCUUUAUGAACAACAAGUGGCAUCGGUCAAGCAGGAAAACAUCGAGACAAGCACCGUACCGACAAGACGGGUAGUCAGACGAGGGUGUGUACUUAGUCCCAUGCUUUUUAAUACGUAUUCAGCAUCUAUUUUACAAAACGCUUAGAACGAGGCAGUAGACGGUCUGAAAGUCAAUGGGAAUUUCAUAAACAACUUAAUAUAUAUAUAUGCCGAAACAGCGCUACAGCGAUAAUGGCAGACAGUUCUGAUGGGCUGAAACGCAUAAUCGACAGCAUUCCAAUUUCGGACAAAAUUGGACUGAGGAUUAAUAUCUCCAAAACGAAGGUCAUGCUAAUAAGUUGCAAUCCGAACAACUACUUCGACAUAAACAUAUACGGUUUUCCAAUCGUUUUCCAAUCGAGCAAGUCAAAAAAUUUAUAUACCUAGGAAGUUGGAUCAGCGAUGAUCUCAUCCUGGAGAAAUUAAUCAGAUGCCACUUAGAGCAAGCUAGAGCCCAUUUUAUUAAAAUGGGGAACCUGAAACUGACAGGAAACCCAAUUUAACCAUAAUUUUUAAUUUUUAAUUUCGUUAGAUGUGUAUUCCACGGUACUAUAUGGAAUCGAGGCCUGGACGCUAAAAGUCAGCAGCAUUAACAGGCUGGAAGCAUUUGAGAUGUGGGUGUACCGCGUAAUGCUGCGCGGUCUAUGGAAGAUCAUACCACCAAUCUAAAGGUCUUACAUAGAAUAAACAAAGACCGAACAAUUCUCGAGACCAUAAAGAAGCGAAAGACUGCUUACCUUUUAUAUGUCAUGAGACAUGACAAGUACAGAUGCCUGCAACUGAUUAUGGAGGGCAAGAUUGAGGGCAAGAUUGAUUGAAAACAUGGUCCUGGACGUAGACAGUGCUUUUGGUUAAAGAACAUUAGGAAUUGGACAGGCUUAAAUUCAAGCUCUCUGUUAAGAAGAACCCAAAACAAAGACGAAUUUUCCAGAAUGAUUACUGAUCUUUACUGAGUGGAGAAGGCACUUCCAGAAGAAGAAUAAAAGUCUUAAUAUCAUUUUGAGUAGUACUAAAUACAUGCUUAUUUUUUUGUGUAACUUCAUAUCCUACUGAUUCUUGAGUAAUAAUAUUAAAUGUUUUGGUUUCAAAUAUAUGUACGGCACAAAGUUGA